rnacentral:rRNA from 1 species
UACAGAGGUCUCAAGCGUUUGUUCGGAUUCAUUGGGCGUAAAGGGUGCGUAGGCGGCGCGGUAAGUCGGAUGUGAAAUCUCGGAGCUUAACUCCGAAACUGCAUUCGAUACUGCCGUGCUUGAGGACUGGAGAGGAGACUGGAAUUUACGGUGUAGCGGUGAAAUGCGUAGAUAUCGUAAGGAAGACCAGUGGCGAAGGCGGGGUCUCUGGACAGUUCCUGACGCUGAGGCACGAAGGCCAGGGGGAGCAAACGGG